rnacentral:rRNA from 1 species
UAACCUGCCCAAGAGAUCGGGAUAACACCUGGAAACAGAUGCUAAUACCGGAUAACAACAGAUGAUGCCUAUCAACUGUUUAAAAGAUGGUUCUGCUAUCACUCUUGGAUGGACCUGCGGUGCAUUAGCUAGUUGGUAGGGUAACGGACUACCAAGGCGAUGAUGCAUAGCCGAGUUGAGAGACUGAUCGGCCACAUUGGGACUGAGACACGGCCCAAACUCCUACGGGAGGCAGCAGGA